rnacentral:rRNA from 1 species
UGGCGGCCUUAGCGCGGUGGUCCCACCUGACCCCAUGCCGAACUCAGAAGUGAAACGCCGUAGCGCCGAUGGUAGUGUGGGGUCUCCCCAUGCGAGAGUAGGGAACUGCCAGGU